GACGAACGCUGGCGGCGUGCCUAAUACAUGCAAGUCGGGCGGACCUCUUCGGAGGUCAGCGGCGGACGGGUGAGUAACACGUGGGCAACCUGCCUGUAAGACUGGGAUAACACCGGGAAACCGGUGCUAAUACCGGAUAAUCCUUUUCCUCACAUGAGGGGAAGCUGAAAGCCGGUUUCGGCUGUCACUCACAGAUGGGCCCGCGGCGCAUUAGCUAGUUGGUGGGGUAACGGCCCACCAAGGCGACGAUGCGGAGCCGACCGGAGAGGGGGGUCGGCCACACUGGGACUGAGACACGGCCCAGACUCCUACGGGAGGCAGCAGUAGGGAAUCUUCCGCAAUGGACGAAAGUCUGACGGAGCAACGCCGCGUGAGCGAAGAAGGCCUUCGGGUCGUAAAGCUCUGUUGUCAGGGAAGAACACGUACCGGAGUAACUGCCGGUACCUUGACGGUACCUGACCAGAAAGCCACGGCUAACUACGUGCCAGCCGCCGCCGUAACAC
rnacentral:rRNA from 1 species